GUCCAAGACCCUAAAUGCAAAGAGAAGGAGGAUGUGCUCCAUCAAGACAUCAGAAAGUUGGAAUUGUCUGAAGUUCAAGGAUUUCAUUGAUGAAACGUCAGAUAACCCAGGCUCAGCGUUGUUGAACACAGAAAAAUCAGCACAAACAGAAAGACAAGGGUUAAUAGCUCACCAGUCCGGAGAACACCAUACAGUAUCUUCAAUUCUGUUCCAAAGUAUGAAUUUAAUUCGAAUUAUAUUUAUAGAGGAUUUGUUUAUAACAAGCUGGAGACUAAUACCU